UACGUAGGCAGCAAGCGUUGUUCGGAGUUACUGGGCGUAAAGGGUGCGUAGGUGGCUCUAUAAGUAUGGUGUGAAAUCUCCCGGCUUAACUGGGAGGGUGCGCCGUAGACUGUGGGGCUAGAGUGUGGGAGAGGAAAGUGGGAAUUCCUGGUGUAGCGGUGAAAUGCGUAGAUAUCAGGAGGAACACCGGUGGUGUAAACGGCUUUCU
rnacentral:rRNA from 1 species